rnacentral:lncRNA from 1 species
AGGAAAUAGAGAAAACAGCAUGAGCCAGCAGUUGCCUUGUUGCAUGGGGUAUGAAGGAGGAAAGGCCCCCCCGUGGCCUCACUGCCUGGGAGCUGGAAGUGGAACACAGCACAUUGGCAGAACGGUCUCCAGCAUGUCACUGUGGAGGGAUGGGAUGCAGAUGCUGCAGAUUUCUGCUGGACAUGGACACAGCAGCAAUAAAAACAACAUCCCUGAUUUGGCAAAAGAAACCACAAAGGCCAGGUCAGCUUUGCAUCUAUAA